rnacentral:misc_RNA from 1 species
UGUGGGAGCGAGCCUGCUCGCGAUAGCGGUGUAUCAGCCAAUAUCAAUGGUGGCUGAUCCGCCGCGAUCGCGAGCAGGCUCGCUCCCACA